UGCCUCGGUGUGUCGAGAGAAAGGAACACCCGGUCCACCACAGGAAGCUGGGCUCAGCAUUGAGUGAUGACCUGCCUCUGCUGGCUACACCUGGGGCAGUACAAUACUGCCUGCAGCUCCUUCC